rnacentral:pre_miRNA from 1 species
AGCAUCUCGGAUCCAUGCUGAGAUUUCGUCAGACACCAACGCGUUAGGGCUGAUCAGACCUCCAAGAUAGGUGACGUU